rnacentral:rRNA from 1 species
AACGAACGUUAGCGGCGCGCCUAACACAUGCAAGUCGCACGAGAAAGGGCUUCGGCCCCGGUACAGUGGCGCACGGGUGAGUAACACGUGGGUAAUCUGCCUUCGAGUGGGGGAUAACAUUCCGAAAGGAGUGCUAAUACCGCAUAAGACCACGCUCUCGAAAGAGAAAGCGGUCAAAGCUGGCCUCUAUAUAUAAGCUAGCGCUUGAGAAUGAGCCCGCGGAGCAUCAGCUAGUUGGUGAGGUAAUGGCUCACCAAGGCUUAGACGCUUAGCUGGUCUGAGAGGAUGAUCAGCCACACUGGAACUGAGACACGGUCCAGACUCCUACGGGAGGCAGCAGUGGGGAAUCUUGCGCAAUGGGCGAAAGCCUGACGCAGCGACGCCGCGUGAGUGAUGAAGGCC